GACUAUUGGCUCGUGUGGAUGCAUCACAUGUGGCCUUAGGGAUCAGAUUGUAGAUAGAUGGUUCUUACAUCUGGAGUGUCUGAUAAGACGAACGGAGAGCACAGUGGCGAGGAACGUGGAUCAGGCUACCAACAGAGAGAUGAAGAAAAGGGAUUCAGUACGCCAACUGCAAUGUUAUUUGACAGGGUGUGGUUUUGGAAUGGAAUGGCUUUUUCCUUGUUGACUUCUAUAGAAGCGUUGGAGCCCAGUGCCCUUAAGUCUCAGGAAGCGUGCCGUUAGUUCUCUCUAAACUUUGUAGCUUCACUUUUCCUCCACCAGAGGGCGACAUCCAUAUACCACUCUGUACACACACACACACACACACACACACACACACACACACACACACACACACACACACACACACACACACACACACACACACACACACACACACACACACACACACACACACACACACACACAGUAUGAGGUUUUGUUGGAAUGUACCCUCUUUCUUUCAACAUAUAAAGCCACUAACUAUGA